AUUGAACGCUGGCGGCAGGCUUAACACAUGCAAGUCGAGCGGGGAAAGGUAGCUUGCUACUUGACCUAGCGGCGGACGGGUGAGUAAUGCUUAGGAAUCUGCCUAUUAGUGGGGGACAACAUCUCGAAAGGGAUGCUAAUACCGCAUACGUCCUACGGGAGAAAGCAGGGGCCCUUCGGGCCUUGCGCUAAUAGAUGAGCCUAAGUCGGAUUAGCUAGUUGGUGGGGUAAAGGCCUACCAAGGCGACGAUCUGUAGCGGGUCUGAGAGGAUGAUCCGCCAGACUGGGACUGAGACACGGGCCAGACUCCUACGGGAGGCAGCAGUGGGGAAUAUUUGACAAUGGGGGGAACCCUGAUCCAGCCAUGCCGCGUGUGUGAAGAAGGCCUUUUGGUUGUAAAGCACUUUAAGCGAGGAGGAGGCUACCGAGAUUAAUACUCUUGGAUAGUGGACGUUACUCGCAGAAUAAGCACCGGCUAACUCUGUGCCAGCAGCCGCGGUAA
rnacentral:rRNA from 1 species